UACGAGGGGGGCAAAUGUUGUUCGGAAUCACUGGGCGUAAAAGGAGCGUAGGCGGGUUUUUAAGUUAGGUGUUUAAUCCCGGGGCCCAACCCCGGACCGGCACUUAAAACUGGGAAUCUUGAAUAGUAAAGAGGUCGGUGGAAUUGAAAAUAUAACGAUGGAAUGCGUAGAGAUCCCCAAGAACACCAGUUGCGAAGGCGACCGACUGGACACAUAUUGACGCUGAGGCUCGAAAGCAUAAAGAGCAAACAGG
rnacentral:rRNA from 1 species